GACGAACGCUGGCGGCGCGCCUAAUACAUGCAAGUCGAGCGUGAACUCGGGCUUCGGCUCGGGGGAAAGCGGCGAACGGGUGCGUAACACGUGAGCAACCUGCCCCGAAGACCGGGAUAACACCGGGAAACCGGUGCUAAUACCGGAUGCCCUCUUCCGACCGCAUGAUCGGACGAGGAAAUGGAUUCCGCUUCGGGAUGGGCUCGCGGCCUAUCAGCUUGUUGGUGGGGUAACGGCCUACCAAGGCGACGACGGGUAGCUGGUCUGAGAGGACGAUCAGCCACACUGGGACUGAGACACGGCCCAGACUCCUACGGGAGGCAGCAGUAGGGAAUCUUGCGCAAUGGGCGAAAGCCUGACGCAGCGACGCCGCGUGCGGGAUGAAGGCCUUCGGGUUGUAAACCGCUUUCAGCAGGGACGAAAUUGACGGUACCUGCAGAAGAAGGCCCGGCCAACUACGUGCCAGCAGCCGCGGUAAAAC
rnacentral:rRNA from 1 species